rnacentral:misc_RNA from 1 species
UAAGCUAAUAACUAGCAGGUG